rnacentral:rRNA from 1 species
CGUGUAGGCGGCCAAGUGUGUCGGAUGUGAAAUCCCGCGGCUCAACCGUGGAAGUGCAUUCGAAACUGCUUGGCUGGAGUUUCGGAGAGGAAGGCGGAAUGCUUGGUGUAGAGGUGAAAUUCGUAGAUAUCAAGCAGAACACCUGUGGCGAAGGCGGCCUUCUGGACGAUGACUGACGCUGAGACGCGAAAGCGUGGGGAGCAAACAGGAUUAGAUACCCUGGUAGUCCACGCCGUAAACGAUGAGUGCUAGGUGUCAGGGGCUUUGACCCUCCUGGUGCCGCAGCUAACGCAAUAAGCACUCCGCCUGGGGAGUACGGCCGCAAGGCUAAA